rfam:Aedes aegypti strain Liverpool supercont1.49 genomic scaffold, whole genome shotgun sequence.
CCUCUCAUGGCGUAUUGGUUAACGCGCCCCAACUAGAGAUCGGGGAGUCGUGAGUUCGAUUCUCACUGAAAAGA